AUGAGAGGGUGAUCGGCCACACGGGAACUGAGACACGGUCCAGACUCCUACGGGAGGCAGCAGUAGGGAAUCUUCCGCAAUGGGCGAAAGCCUGACGGAGCAACCGCCGCGUGAGUGAUGAAGGUCUUCGGAUCGUAAAACUCUGUUAUUAGGGAAGAACAUAUGUGUAAGUAACUGUGCACAUCUUGACGGUACCUAAUCAGAAAGCCACGGCUAACUACGUGCCAGCAGCCGCGGUAAUACGUAGGUGGCUAGCGUUAUCCGGAAUUAUUGGGCGUAAAGCGCGCGUAGGCGGUUUUUUAAGUCUGACGUGAAAGCCCACGGCUCAACCGUGGAGGGUCAUUGGAAACUGGAAAACUUGAGUGCAGAAGAGGAAAGUGGAAUUCCAUGUGUAGCGGUGAAAUGCGCAGAGAUAUGGAGGAACACCAGUGGCGAAGGCGACUUUCUGGUCUGUAACUGACGUUGAUGUGCGAAAGCGUGGGGAUCAAACAGGAUUAGAUACCCUGGUAGUCCACGCCGUAAACGAUGAGUGCUAAGUGUUAGGGGGUUUCCGCCCCUUAGUGCUGCAGCUAACGCAUUAAGCACUCCGCCAGGCGAGUACGACCGCAU
rnacentral:rRNA from 1 species